rnacentral:rRNA from 1 species
UACGUAGGGGGGCAAGCGUUGUCCGGAUUUAUUGGGCGUAAAGAGCGUGUAGGCGGCCAGACAGGUCCGUUGUGAAAACUCGAGGCUCAACCUCGAGACGUCGAUGGAAACCGUCGGGCUAGAGUCCGGAAGAGGAGAGUGGAAUUCCUGGUGUAGCGGUGAAAUGCGCAGAUAUCAGGAGGAAUACCCGUGGCGAAAGCGGCUCUCUGGGACGGUACUGACGCUGAGACGCGAAAGCGUGGGGAGCGAACAGG